AUUGAACGCUGGCGGCAGGCCUAACACAUGCAAGUCGAGCGGAUGAAGGGAGCUUGCUCCUGGAUUCAGCGGCGGACGGGUGAGUAAUGCCUAGGAAUCUGCCUGGUAGUGGGGGAUAACGUCCGGAAACGGGCGCUAAUACCGCAUACGUCCUGAGGGAGAAAGUGGGGGAUCUUCGGACCUCGCGCUAUCAGAUGAGCCUAGGUCGGAUUAGCUAGUUGGUGGGGUAAAGGCCUACCAAGGCGACGAUCCGUAACUGGUCUGAGAGGAUGAUCAGUCACACUGGAACUGAGACACGGUCCAGACUCCUACGGGAGGCAGCAGUGGGGAAUAUUGGACAAUGGGCGAAAGCCUGAUCCAGCCAUGCCGCGUGUGUGAAGAAGGUCUUCGGAUUGUAAAGCACUUUAAGUUGGGAGGAAGGGCGGUAAGUUAAUACCUUGCUGUUUUGACGUUACCAACAGAAUAAGCACCGGCUAACUUCGUG
rnacentral:rRNA from 1 species